GACGAACGCUGGCGGCGUGCCUAAUACAUGCAAGUUGAGCGCUGAAGGUUGGUACUUGUACCAACUGGAUGAGCAGCGAACGGGUGAGUAACGCGUGGGGAAUCUGCCUUUGAGCGGGGGACAACAUUUGGAAACGAAUGCUAAUACCGCAUAAAAACUUUAAACACAAGCUUUAAGUUUGAAAGAUGCAAUUGCAUCACUCAAAGAUGAUCCCGCGUUGUAUUAGCUAGUUGGUGAGGUAAAGGCUCACCAAGGCGAUGAUACAUAGCCGACCUGAGAGGGAGAGCGGCCACAUUGGGACUGAGACACGGCCCAAACUCCGACGGGAGGCAGCGGUAGGGAAUCUUCGGAAAUGGACGAAAGUCUGACCGAGCAACGCCGAGUGAGUGAAGAGGGUUUUCGGAUCGUAAAACUCUGUUGGUAGAGGAGAACGUUGGUGAGAGUGGAAAGCUCAUCAAGUGACGGUAACUACCCAGAAAGCGACGGCUAACUACGUG
rnacentral:rRNA from 1 species